rnacentral:rRNA from 1 species
CGGGAGGCAGCAGUGAGGAAUAUUGGUCAAUGGGCGAGAGCCUGAACCAGCCAAGUAGCGUGCAGGAUGACGGCCCUAUGGGUUGUAAACUGCUUUUAUAAGGGAAUAAAGUGAGUCUCGUGAGACUUUUUGCAUGUACCUUAUGAAUAAGGACCGGCUAAUUCCGUGCCAGCAGCCGCGGUAAUACGGAAGGUCCGGGCGUUAUCCGGAUUUAUUGGGUUUAAAGGGAGCGUAGGCCGGAGAUUAAGCGUGUUGUGAAAUGUAGACGCUCAACGUCUGCACUGCAGCGCGAACUGGUUUCCUUGAGUACGCACAAAGUGGGCGGAAUUCGUGGUGUAGCGGUGAAAUGCUUAGAUAUCACGAAGAACUCCGAUUGCGAAGGCAGCUCACUGGAGCGCAACUGACGCUGAAGCUCGAAAGUGCGGGUAUCGAACAGGAUUAGAUACCCUGGUAGUCCGCACGGUAAACGAUGGAUGCCCGCUGUUGGUCUGAAUAGGUCAGCGGCCAAGCGAAAGCAUUAAGCAUCCCACCUGGGGAGUACGCCGGCAACGGUGAAACUCAAAGGAAUUGACGGGGGCCCGCACAAGCGGAGGAACAUGUGGUUUAAUUCGAUGAUACGCGAGGAACCUUACCCGGGCUUGAAUUGCAGAGGAAGGAUUUGGAGACAAUGACGCCCUUCGGGGUCUCUGUGAAGGUGCUGCAUGGUUGUCGUCAGCUCGUGCCGUGAGGUGUCGGCUUAAGUGCCAUAACGAGCGCAACCCCUCUCCUUAGUUGCCAUCAGGUUAAGCUGGGCACUCUGGGGACACUGCCACCGUAAGGUGUGAGGAAGGUGGGGAUGACGUCAAAUCAGCACGGCCCUUACGUCCGGGGCUACACGCGUGUUACAAUGGCAGGUACAGAGAGAUGGUGUUCUGCAAAGCGCAUCUAAUCCUUAAAGCCUGUCUCAGUUCGGACUGGGGUCUGCAACCCGACCCCACGAAGCUGGAUUCGCUAGUAAUCGCGCAUCAGCCAUGGCGCGGUGAAUACGUUCCCGGGCCUUGUACACAUCCGCC